UCGUGUUAUAAGGUCAAUAACAUUAGCGUUUUUCCGACCCGCCUGAUUUGGGAAGCAAUUGAUUUACAUGAUGUUUCUAGUGGUUUAAAUAUGUGUAAUCAUUUCCAGGCAAAAUGCCAAUAACAUGAAUGAGGUUUCUGGCAUUGGAUGUGCAUUUCUUUAUUCCAAAGUGGAUACUUGCAUUCAUUCCUAUCUGAGCACCAUGUAAAAUGUAAAUUGUUAGUGUGUAAAUUCUUGUAACGUGACUCAAAGCAUCCAUAGGAGAAUAUGUAAUCACCAACAGUAAUCAGGUUAUCUCUACAAGAGUCAGUGUUAGUGUACAUGUAACUCUGUUGGUUUCAUUUACCAUGCUGAUGGUGUGUGUGGGCCUGCUGGUGUGAGUAACUCUGUGUAACAGUGUGAGCGGGACAGACACUUCUCUUCUAUGGCUUGGCUGUUUUUCAGACCUUUUUCAGAAAGAAAAUCUGUCUGCACACUGCAUGGUUUGGCCUGUUUGUCUGUGUGUGUCUCAGCAAACAGAGCUGUUUUUACUGGGGGAAACCAAACCCUGCCCCAGACAGGAACACAGCAAGAGAGGAGGACAUUCGUCUGCUUAAAUAUUGUUAUGGACCCGACUGAUGUGUGAACUAUCGCUGUCACACGAAGACUUCCAGCACACCAGAACAUCUGUCCAACAUCUGCCUGGCAGUAUGACUGGACAUCCUCUGCUCUCCUGGAGGAGUGAGGCAUCCUGGGAUGCUAAACUAUCCCUAUCCCCUAUCGCAAUAGUCUCUUCUCCUCAAAUUCACACCACAAAAUCCUCUUCAACAUCAUUAAUAAUUCAAGACCUUCCACAGCCAUACAUUCUCAUGUGGAAUUCAUCCCAGACCCACUGAAGCAAGUAUGGGCUUGACUGAGAAUUGAAUCUAAGGUAAAUUCUUGGAUCUCAGCCAGAAGUAAUGUAGGUCUAAAGUGGUUUGUUUGUGCGUGCGUGCAUCAAAUCAAAUGAUUGCUUCAUCACAUACACAGUUUACAGCAGGUAUAAAAGGUGCAGUGAAAUGCUUGUGUGCUAGUUUCCUGAACAUUGCAGUACAAUAACCAAUAUCAAUAAUAAUAAAUAACACGUAAUAAGAGGUAGU